AUGGCCUUAUCAACCUCAUGCCCUCCUGCCCUGUCCUCAUCACCGUCAACACCACCUGCGCCACCCACGUCACCUUCAACCUCGCCUGUGCAGCCCUCAUCACCUUCUCAUGCGCAGCCCUCAUCAUCCUCGCCUGCGCAGCCUUCAUCACCUUCUCAUGUGCAGCCCUCAUCAUCCUCAUCCUCGCCUGCGCAGCCCUCAUCACCUUCUCAUGUGCAGCCCUCAUCACCUUCUCAUGUGCAGCCCUCAUCAUCCUCAUCCUCGCCUGCGCAGCCCUCAUCACCUUCUCAUGUGCAGCCCUCAUCAUCCUCAUCCUCGCCUGCGCAGCCUUCAUCACCUUCUCAUGUGCAGCCCUCAUCGCCUUCUCAUGUGCAGCCCUCAUCAUCCUCAUCCUCGCCUGCACAGCCCUCAUCACCUUCUCAUGUGCAGUCCUCAUCAUCCUCAUCCUCGCCUGCGCAGCCCUCAUCACCUUCUCAUGUGCAGCCCUCAUCAUCCUCAUCUUCUCCUGCUCCACCCUUAUCUUCACCCUGUGCUGCAUCAACACCUGUGGUUCACUCAUCACAGGCGUCUGAGACCCUCUCAUUAAGGAAGAUAUCCUCUUUAAGGCCAUCAAGAAAAAGACAGUAUUCAGGAAGUGCCGUCUGUGAUACAGACUACAGCGAUGUCACAGACUACAGCGAUGUUGACUAUAUACCAAAAAUCAGCUCAGAUGAUUCGGAUGGUAGUUCUUCUGGACAUGACAUGGUCAAAAGUGCUUUGAUACAUCCAACAUCUCCCAAAGAGGCAGGUAGUUUAUCUGAUCAAUGUAUGACCGCACCAUCACCUAAAAAGAUGAAAUGCCAAUCUAAAGAGACAAACACCUCGUCUGGUGAUAAGACUUUUAUUCAGUCAAUGCCAUCACCUAAGCAGGAACGCAAGACGUACAACAAAAAGCAGUAUUGCCUUUAUUGCUCUAAGCCAUAUUCAAAAAUGGCCAGACACCUUGAAUUUGUCCAUCGCAACGAAGUGGGGGUUGUAAAGGCAGUAGCAUUUCCAAAACAUUCCAAAGAAAGACGAGUCCAGUUAAACCUCCUUAGAAAAAGGGGCAACUUUGCCCACAACACCGAUGUGGUGAGACAAGGACAUGGUGAGAUGAUUGCCUGCUACCGUCCAAAAAAUAGUCAAAGAGCCAAUGAAUUUAUUCACUGCAUUUACUGCCAAGGGCUUUAUAACAAGCGUAGCCUUUGGAAACAUAUCAAAAACUGUCCCCUGAAACCAAAAAAUGAGGAUGCCCAGGGCAGGAAAAGAGUUCGAUCCCUGUGUGCUCUAAACACACCAGUGGGCUUAGAAGUGAGCAAAGGAUUCAAGAAAGUACUCUCCUUUAUGAACUAUGAUGAAGUUUCGCGUGUAGUUCAUACUGACAGAUGCAUCAUGCAGCUGGGGGAGCACAUGUUCAACAGGAUGGGGUCUGAUGUGACCAAACAUGACUACAUCAGACAGAAGAUGAGAGAAGUAGGCAGACUUCUUCUUGAAGCAAGGAAGAUUACCCCACUGAGAACAAUGGUAGACUUCAUCAUACCAACUAACUUCAAACAUGUCAUAGCAGCUGUUAAAGUUGUAUCUGGCUAUGAUGAAGAGAAAAACUCCUACCGCAUUCCUUCUUUAGCUCUCAAACUUGGGCAUUCUUUAAACAAGAUAUCUAGCAUUGUUGAGAGCAAUGCCAUGAUGUAUGGAGAUCAUGAGCGUGCUGAGUGUGCCCGAGACUUCAGGAAAAUACACCAGGCAAGGUGGAAUGAGUACAUUUCUGCUGGUGCUAUAACUACAUUGAAAGAAGCCAAGUGGAACACACCACAGAUCAUUCCUUUCACUCAGGAUGUCAAAGUCCUGCACACACAUCUUGAAAAGAAACACAAUGAGCUCCUAAGUAAGCUCAGAUCUUGCCCUUCUGCUGACAGCUACGCUGCUCUAGCCAAGGUCACGCUGUCCCAGGUCAUCCUGUUCAACCGAAGGAGAGAAGGUGAGGUAUCCCGGAUGCUUUUGUCAGCUUUUAAAAGCAGGGAUUCUUCUGAGCUACACGAAGACAUUGCCAUCUGUCUGUCUGAGUUUGAGAGGAAGCUGUGUCUGCACUUCUCAAGAGUUGAGAUCCGUGGUAAACGAGGGAGAAAGGUUCCUGUGCUCCUCAAGCCUUCCAUGGUUUCUGCCAUGGAGCUGCUUGUUGAAACGCGUGAGCUUUGUGGUGUUCCAGCAGAGAAUCCCUUUAUGUUUGCUAGAUGUGGAGCAAUGUCUGCCUACAGAGGAGGAGAGUGCAUCAACAAAGCUGCUUGCGAAUGUGGCAUAAAGAACCCUGAUGCACUGUCAUCAACUAGGCUUAGGAAACACAUAGCAACCAUGUCUAAAAUUCUUAACCUUAAUGAGAAUGAAGCAGACCAACUGGCUGAUUUCCUUGGUCACGAUAUCCGAAUCCACAGACAGUAUUAUCGGUUACCAGAGGGAACACUGCAGCUGGCAAAAAUGAGUAAAGUCCUAAUGGCCAUGGAGAAAGGAACACUGUCUGACUACAAAGGAAAGAAACUUGAUGACAUUGAAAUUGACCCAAAUGGUAUGAGUAUACAUGCUCUGUGUGUAUCUGUGCUGUACAUAUUUACAAAACAAUGUAUAUAUUAA
ensembl:lncRNA